rnacentral:rRNA from 1 species
CCCGUCCGUUCCCCUCAUCUCUCAUCUCUCAUCUCUCACGCCUCUCGAGACCUAGACUAGGGUGCCGCCGCCGCCGCAACCCCAACCGGAGAUGCUCCCUCGGCGGAGGGCUUUGACGCGCACGGCCGUGUCCCGCCGGCUUCUGCGCCGCGUGUGGCCCGAACACCGGCCAUCCUGCGGAAUCUCCCUGGCUUCUGCGACGCCUGUGGACGGAGGAGGGGAGGCCCGGAGCGCCGGUCAUCCUUGCGAAUAUCUCCAUGGCAGAGACGGUGCAAUGGUAGCUGACUUCUAUGGUCGGCCUCUGUCGACGUUUGACGGCAAACUGGUCUGGUGAGUUGAUCUGACUGAUGGGAAGUACGGUGCAUCGCCGCCCUGCUCCGGUGACUGUUCUCCGUAGACUCCAGGCCGGCAGUAUAGUUUUCGUAGAUCUGCUCGAGGAGCAUCCCUCUAUGGCGUUGACCGCCACAGAUCUGAAAGUACCGGUGGGGGACUCAGAUCUGCAAGGAGAGACGUGCGGAUCUCCACUACUAAAGCCAUGGCAAGUAGCUCGUUGGGUCGAGCGUUGGAGCGACUAGUCCAGACUAGUCUGGGUGUUCGAGUCGAUCGACUCAAUUUGGGAGGGAUAAGUUAUCAGCGCUCAGCACACGGGAGGGAAAAAUUGCAACCCUCCACAAUCUCCGCCUCACCUGGGACCAGGCCAUCGCCGCCAGCCAUUAACGGCCAGGAACAUUACGGCGCCCUCCUUCCGCUGGUUCUGCUCCACCCCUCUGCUGCUGUGCUCCUCCCUGGAUGGACUCAAUUUUUAUUGUAUAUAUUUCAUAUUAGGUAUUAGUAGUUGAGUACUGUAAGUUGAGUACUACAGUACCAUGUAGACUAGUCCAGCAGUACUCUAGACUAGUCACGAUUGGUCUAGGAGUCUCAACCUCAGAUCGACUACUCGACUUGUAAUGCCUGAAGGUAACUAGCAUCAUGGUUUUUGAGUCGCUGUAUAGUCGCCGACUAAUCGCCAAGUCGUUUUCCAAAAAUCAGGGCGACUCGCGACUUAUGGCGACUAUACAGCGACUUUCGUCGACUAUACGCCGAGCCGCAGGGCUCGCGGCGACUCGCCAAGUCGCGACUCAAAAACCUUGACUAGCAUAAUUAACCAUGUAAUUGGUUGUUUAUUAUAUCCUCACUGUUAUUAUUAAAAUUCAACUCUUGUUUUCAUCUUAGCUCUACUUUUUAUAUGCCUAUGAAUCUACAACUUUGCAAAAUAAGCUUUUGGAGAUCAUGAUAUACAAUUCUAAUGUUUGUCAGAAAAAAAUUAGGUUAAAUUGAUGGCUUUGAACUUGAUUAUUUCUUAUUCAUGUAACUAGUAGAAGUAACUACAUAGCUAGAGAAUUGUCCACACAAUUGUGUUGCUAUUGUAAAAUUAUCAUAAAAUGUAUAAUGUUUAUUAUUGAAAAUUUAAUCGUGUUGCAUGCCUAUUAUUUCAUAUCAUUGCAAGAAUAACUUUUUGUACUUUUUUUUUCAGUUUAUGAUUUUGGGUACCUAUUUAUUCUCUGUUGAUAAAACAUGUAGGUUUUCCGUUAUCUUCCUUUAUGUGUUUUCUCUGGGUUGAUGAUAUUUGUUUUUGAAUUUUGUCCUUUAGUAUGUUAUUAUUGUGUUUUUCCUUUUUAUCCAAACGGAAGUGGCGUAAUUGUAUUGUUCUCCAUAUAUUUCUAACUAUUGUUAUUUAUGAUUUAUUAUUACCCCUUGUUACAUAAAAAAUUCAGAUGACCUGGAGGCUGGUUUUAGUUUUGAGCAUAAGGGAAGUAUAUUUCCAUCCUUUCACGUGUGCAGUUGGCUAGAUAUUAUACUACCUUAUGUUUGUCUUGGAGAUAUAGUUGGAUAUGUUAUACAUCUCUACAUAUGGUUAAUCUUAACUGUUGUAAUCUGACUUUAUGCAAGUGCCAAAGGGUGCAACUAUGGUGCAAAGAUUUACUUUUGUCUCGGUUGUUGAUUGCAUCUUUAUCUUCCCAAUUUUUGUGACAUUCUUUUGUCGUCAGCAAAUGGAGAAAUUUGAUGUGAACGCAAAUGAAGUGCCUUGAUUGCAGUUCUGCUUCCCAAUUGAUAACAAAACCAAUUAGUAGAAGGACUGAAAUUCAUAUAGUAUGCAUGGAGUUUUACUUAUGUUCCCGCUUUCUAUUGAAAACUUUUUUCAUAUGGCUAUUCCAACACAAUGUUUCUAUGCAGGCAUAUAUGAGGUGUGUUGAUGGCGUUUCCCUCCCAGUCACCUGCAAAAUAUGUACAACUAGACAAGGUAUGACCAAUAUCUUUGAUGCACUGUUCGAUUUGAUAGUUGGACUUUUCGCAAGAUUAUAGGGAACCUCUGCAUCAUUAGUACUCUAAACAAGUGAUGAAGGUUCCAUUUAGAACAAGAUAGGGAUUCCAUACUUUGCAAUCACACAUGAGGCAAGAAAAGACCAGCUCGUUCAGACAUAUACAAGCAGGACAUAUGACAGACAACGAUUAGCUUAAGCUUAUCCAUUUGAACAGCUAUAUGCUGAAGCUGGUCCAUACCCAGUCUCGCAAAUCAACCACCAUGUUUACGUUCUGAAUUGAUAUUUACAUGCAUAGCUUACAAUUCCAACUUCUACUUAAGGAUAUUUUGAAGUUUAGAAAUCCAAGAGAACUGAUUCACACAUCUCCUGUUCACUAGCCACCGGCUUUAUUUUGGAUGCGGACAUGGUCCUCUCAGAUUUCAACCUGUUGAAUGAAUCAUCAUUUACAUGUUAGAACGGCAAAACAUUGAUCAUAUGCAAAUAUUUUGAAUAAAAGAUUAAUGUUUAACUAUGCGUGGAAGUAUGCUAUAUAUUUGUAUAUCAGCAGCAAGCAUAACACACUUAGUACUCUAUUGAUACCAAAGAAAACAAUGGUAAGGACAAAUGUGAUACCCCAUAGAUUUAAGCGAGUAUUUUUCAGAGAAAUAGAGUUCACAAGUCAAGGUAAACUAGAUUGGGUAGUGUUUGUGUCUUCCUGUCAAAUAGGAUUGUAAUUAUCUGAAACAUCUUUUGAAUAGGCUAUACCGGAACUAGGGAGCAAAUGGAGCGGGCCUAUCAGCUAAGCCUCUGGCUUGCCCCGCUUACAAAUCCUGCUUAACUAAUUGCUUCUGUCUGAAAUACACGGUGCUACUGUUUGAAGUAGAUGUGCUAGUAGCCUACUACUGCUUCAGAACGAAAUAGUAAAGUAUAGUGGCAUAUCUUGCUGUGCGAAAAUCCUUGUUACCAGUUAUUAUUAUAGUGGCAAAUUCUGAUGCCCAAGUCUGAUAAACAAGUGACAAUUGUUUAUUGAGUACUGUCUUAAUAUUUUCUACCAUGUGUUAGUAGAUAGAUUAUGUCAGACACUCGAGGGAAAUUCGGUCAAAACGAUGCAAUGAGCUAGUGAAAGCUCAGAUGGUUUUCAACACGCAGUAGAGUACAUGGUGUUGAGUAAGAUUUAUAUUCCUUUCAUUUGUGAUGAAUUUUAUACAUGAAAGAGUGUGCACUUCUAACAGUAGUGUAUUUGUUCACACACACUCACUGUCAGGGUCAUGGUUAGCGCAUACAGUGGGCGCCACAUCAUAGGAUUAGUGUGUUUUAAUAUCUAUAUGUUGCAUCUUACUGGUGGUCGAGUUUUGACUGUAACAGCUACUGUUACGUGACUUGACUCUUUCCGUUUUGCUCCAACUAGUCUGAGAUGACCUUAGAACAGAGCAAGUUAGCUUGACAUGACCUUGCAAACAGGCUGAUGAUAUUUAUUAUAACUAGCAUGUCAUGCACACAAUGAUAAAUAGCCAUGAACAAUGUAUUGCUGCUUAAUUUAAGAUGCAACAUAUCUAAAUAUGAAAAUCCAGCGUAUUUGCUUAGAGGAACAACAUUUUUAUGUAGCUCCUCCAUGACAAUUGUUGCUGGUACAAUGUUUGUUUUAUCUGGAAGGUGUCAUCAGGGGCUGAUUUGAAACUAAACCCACCCUGAUGCACUACUUUCCCAUGGCUUAAAAGUUUCAUUCCACAAUAUGAAGAUUUGCUAAACAAAUAGUGUAUUUUGGGACAAUGCUUGAUAUAACGAUGAAACAAAGGACACAAAUACAUGGUAACAACCGAGUGCCUUUUGAAAAUAUACCAAGUAACCAAUGCCUAUGAUUUUGGAAUAUACACCAUCAACUUAAAAUUGGCAAAUGGCAUUUAAAAUAGUCAAAUGAAAUUUUUAACAAGCUAAAUAUAUUCAUAUUAGCUCCUAGAACAUUCCAUCUUUUAUGGACAUGAAAUAUGCAACCACUUGAGAGGAAUAAUUGACUAACUGAAUGCAGAUUGUAUAUAGUCGCUUAAAGAGCAAUACAAUGAGUCAAUGCCAAUUACUUAGACCACUAUUGAAUUAGGAGUUGGUAAAAUCCUAAACCAUUAUAAAGUUGGCAAACUUUGGUCUUGUACCCACAUAUCAUGGAUGGAAACAAUAUUUAUCACCAAGGCAUUGGCGACUUGGGGAAUCAGAUUUGAGGCCUGGAUUGAGGGCCGACUCACAAGGGCGGCCGACUUUGAUUUCAGAAUUUAAGCAUGGCAGCAAGGAGCCAAGGGUCAGGUGGGUCAGGUGCACAAGGUGCCAGCAUCGCUGCUGAGCUCGGUGGCCGCCGCGAGGAGGCAAGGGUAGUCGCGUCGUGGAGAUGGGAACAUUGAUACAAUUAAAGGACGAUGCUACGCUGAUGCAUGACUGAAAUGGAUUUAUUUUGUUGAGCAAAAUAUGAUUGAAAUAGAUGGUGCAUACUACAUAGCAGUGAAAAGAAAUCUGGACCCUGAUGCAUGUGCAUCUGGCCGUUCCUGGGUGUCAUGAUGGCAGGAACUAAGAAGACACAUUGUAUAAAUCCCUUGUAUUUGGCUUCAUUUGGGCAUAAUUUUUUAAAUUAGUAUCAGCAACCCUUCUUUCACUUCAA